GUGCCAGCAGCCGCGGUAAUACGGAGGAUCCGAGCGUUAUCCGGAAUUAUUGGGUUUAAAGGGUGCGUAGGCGGCUUUCUAAGUCAGUGGUGAAAGACGGUGGCUCAACCAUCGCAGUGCCGUUGAUACUGGGGAGCUUGAAUGUACAUGAGGUAGGCGGAAUGUGGCAAGUAGCGGUGAAAUGCAUAGAUAUGCCACAGAACACCGAUUGCGAAGGCAGCUUACUAAGGUAUGAUUGACGCUGAGGCACGAAAGCGUGGGGAUCGAACAGGAUUAGAUACCCUGGUAGUCCACGCCCUAAACGAUGCGAACUGGAUGUUGGGUGCAAUUUGGCACUCAGUAUCGAAGCUAACGCGUUAAGUUCGCCGCCUGGGGAGUACGGUCGCAAGACUGAAACUCAAAGGAAUUGACGGGGGCCCGCACAAGCGGUGGAGUAUGUGGUUUAAUUCGAUGCAACGCGAAGAACCUUACCUGGCCUUGACAUGCACGGAACUUUCCAGAGAUGGAUGGGUGCCUUCGGGAACCGUGACACAGGUGCUGCAUGGCCGUCGUCAGCUCGUGUCGUGAGAUGUUGGGUUAAGUCCCGCAACGAGCGCAACCCUUGUCCUUAGUUGCCAGCACGUAAUGGUGGGAACUCUAAGGAGACCGCCGGUGACAAACCGGAGGAAGGUGGGGAUGACGUCAAGUCAUCAUGGCCCUUACGGCCAGGGCUACACACGUACUACAAUGGGGAGGGCAGAGGGCUGCNAACCCGCGAGGGCAAGCCAAUCCCAGAAACCUCUUCUCAGUCCGGAUCGGAGUCUGCAACUCGACUCCGUGAAGUCGGAGUCGCUAGUAAUCGCAGAUCAGCAACGCUGCGGUGAAUACGUUCCCGGGCCUUGUACACACCGCCCGU
rnacentral:rRNA from 1 species